rnacentral:rRNA from 1 species
CACGUAGGGCGCAAGCGUUGUCCGGAAUUAUUGGGCGUAAAGAGCUCGUAGGCGGUCUGUUGCGUCCGCUGUGAAAACUCGGGGCUUAACCCCGAGCCUGCAGUGGAUACGGGCAGACUAGAGGUAGGUAGGGGAGAAUGGAAUUCCCGGUGUAGCGGUGAAAUGCGCAGAUAUCGGGAGGAACACCGGUGGCGAAGGCGGUUCUCUGGGCCUUACCUGACGCUCAGGCGCGAAAGCUAGGGGAGCGAACAGGAGUUAGAA